GGUCUAAUUAACUAUAAUGUGAACAAAUAUGUUCAUACAUCUCUUUUCCACUUUCUUCUUCUUCUUCUUCUUUUACUUAUUUCACAUAAAGCAGUGAUCUCAUCUUGGAUUGCUGCAAAAUUUAUGAAGCACAGGAAGGCACAAGGCAUGAAAAGAACCCUGCCACCUUCUUCUUCCGCUUGGAAGAUCGGAGAAGCUCAGGAGAGAUUUUGUAGAGGUCUUCGUCAACAGGUUUAGGAGGUCUAACAGGCAAUUUAGGACGUGGGUGAACCGAGACACCAUUGUUCUUUUCUGACACACUGUAAACAGAUAUGGGUUUCUGGCACUGUUGUUUUCUUGGCGGUUCAGUCACGUCACUAACUUUGACUUGUUUCUUCUGCUCCUUGACAUGUGGGAGUGGGACUCGCCUCUCUUUCACCCUUGUCUUUCUUGGAGGACCAAGAUCACGAGAAGGUUUCUUGAAAUCAGUAGCAUACAAAUCACCACGCAUGUACUGAUCGCAUUCUCCAGAAGAACUGUAUCGAAUCAAGCCUGCUUGUCUUGCACUUUCGAAAUAUUGAGUUAUUGGCAACUCAUUUGCGUGCUCCCAGUCUCCAAAUG
rnacentral:misc_RNA from 1 species